AACGAACGCUGGCGGCGUGCUUAACACAUGCAAGUCGAACGAGAAAGCUCUUUCGGGAGCGAGUAAAGUGGCGCACGGGUCAUUAACACGUGGAUAAUCUGCCUUUAGGAGAAGGGCAACCUGUCGAAAGACGGGCUAAUCCUUCAUAAGACCACAGUACCUUCGGGUACAGAGGUAAAAGUGGCCUCUAUUUAUAAGCUAUUGCCUAAAGAUGAGUCCGCGCACCAUUAGCAGUUGGC
rnacentral:rRNA from 1 species